rnacentral:tRNA from 1 species
GCACAAGUAGCUUAGAUGGAUUAGCGUAACCCUGAAAAGGUUGAGAGGUUGGAUCGUUACCAACAUUGUGCA